UAGGGAAUCUUGGACAGUGGGCGAAAGCCUGAUCCAGCCAUGCCGCGUGAGUGAAGAAGGCCCUAGGGUUGUAAAGCUCUUUUGGCGGGGACGAUAAUGACGGUACCCGCAGAAUAAGCCCCGGCUAACUUCGUGCCAGCAGCCGCGGUAAUACGAAGGGGGCUAGCGUUGUUCGGAAUUACUGGGCGUAAAGCGCACGCAGGCGGAUUGGUAAGUUAGAGGUGAAAUCCCGGGGCUCAACCUCGGAAUUGCCUUUGAUACUGCCAGUCUUGAGUCCGGGAGAGGUGAGUGGAAUUCCUAGUGUAGAGGUGAAAUUCGUAGAUAUUGGAUGGAACACCGGUGGCGAAAGCGGCUCUCUGGUCCGAACCUGACGCUGAGGCGCGAAAGCGUGGGGAGCAAACAGGAUUAGAUACCCGCGUAGUCC
rnacentral:rRNA from 1 species